CGCCUUAUGCAUGCAAGUCGAGCGAAGCUUUUCAGUAGUUUACUACAGAAAAUGACUGAGCGGCGAACGGGUGAGUAACGCGUGAGCAAUCUACCUUAGUUACAGGGAUAGCCCGAGGAAACUCGGAUUAAUACCUGAUAUUCUUUAUAUUUCGCAUGAAAUUAAAAGGAAAGGUCAGCCGAACUAAGAUGAGCUCGCGUUCUAUCAGCUAGUUGGUGAGGUAAAAGCUCACCAAGGCUACGACGGAUAGCUGGUCUGAGAGGACGAUCAGCCACACUGGGACUGAGACACGGCCCAGACUCCUACGGGAGGCUGCAGCAGGGAAUAUUGCGCAAUGAGCGAAAGCUUGACGCAGCGACACCGCGUGUGGGAUGACGGAUCUAGGUUUGUUAACCACUUUCAGGAGGGAAGAAAAUGACGGUACCUCCACAAGAAGCCCCGGCCAACUACGUGCCAGCAGCCGCGGUAAUACGUAGGGGGCGAGCGUUGUCCGGAUUUAUUGGGCGUAAAGAGCUCGUAGGCGGUUCAACAAGUCGGUCGUGAAAGUUCAGGGCUCAACCCUGAAAUGUCGAUCGA
rnacentral:rRNA from 1 species